rnacentral:rRNA from 1 species
AUUGAACGCUGGCGGCAUGCCUUACACAUGCAAGUCGAACGGCAGCACGGGUGCUUGCUCCUGGUGGCGAGUGGCGAACGGGUGAGUAAUACAUCCGAACAUGUCCUGUAGUGUGGGAUAGCCCGUCGAAAGCCGGAUUAAUACCGCAUACUCUCUACGGAUGAAAUUUGGGGACCUUCGGCCCUCGCUCUAUGGGGUUGCCCGGUGGCUGUUUAGCUAUUUUGUGGGGUAAAGGCCUACCAAGGCGACGAUCCGUAGCUGGUCUGAGAGGACGACCAGCAACACUGGGACUGAGACACGGCCCAGACUCCUACGGGAGGCAGCAGUGGGGAAUUUUGGACAAUGGGCGAAAGCGUGAUCAAGCAAUGCCGCGUGUGUGAAGAAGGCCUUCGGGUUGUAAAGCACUUUUGUACGGAAAGAAAGCCUUGGCCCUAAUACGGUCGGGGGAUGACGGUACCGGACGAAUAAGCAACGGCUAACUAAGUG